rnacentral:rRNA from 1 species
UACGGGGGGAGCAAGCGUUGUUCGGAUUUACUGGGCGUAAAGGGCGCGUAGGCGGCGCCGCAAGUCGACUGUGAAAUCUCCGGGCUUAACCCGGAAAGGUCAGCCGAUACUGCGGGGCUAGAGUGCAGAAGGGGCAACUGGAAUUCUCGGUGUAGCGGUGAAAUGCGUAGAUAUCAGGAAGAACACCCGUGGCGAAGGCGGCUCUCUGGGACGGUACUGACGCUGAGACGCGAAAGCGUGGGGAGCGAACAGG